ACAUUUAAUUUUGUACUGGAAUUUGAACAGUAGCUCGCUGCUGGGGAUUAGAGUAUGAUGAGUAUCUCUCCUUUCCGUCGAUAAUCCCUUAGUACUGCAAUAUACACAGUUGACUGGAAGAAAUCCUCGACCUCAGCAUACAUGAAGCCAUAGCAAGAAGCAGUGAAAGCCACAGCAGAGAUUGGAUAGAGCAUAAUUUUUUCUCUGUAUCGGUGCCUCUAUGGAUGUCAUAUUUAGAUCAGAUGCAGUCUGAGCCUUGUUCUGAAUUUCAAAAUUCCCUUUGACAACACCUGCACAGCUGAGCAAUCAAGGGCCUUCUGACUAAGGGUUGAAUUAUAGUGAAUACUACCAUUCAGAGACUUUGAAACAGAUUGAUGAAUGAACCACAUGCAUUAUGUCAGAGGAAUCUAGCUGGACUUGGAGCACCUUUUUAGCAGCCAGGACACAUAGAUGUACCUGUACAGUUGAUACAGAUAAUCUCAACGGCACAUUUCUAAAUGAUGGCCAAAAAAAUCUAAUAAAGACACUGUCAGUUUAAAACUUUUUGAAAGAAAUCCAGAUCAGAAACAAAGGAUAUUGAUUUUUAAGCUCCAAAUGUAAAAGGGGUUUUAUUGAAACCAAGACCAGGAUACACCCAAGGAUAUUUAAUAUUAGACCCCUUCAACAUAAAAUUUUGAAUUUUAGU